rnacentral:rRNA from 1 species
GACGAACGCUGGCGGCGUGCUUAACACAUGCAAGUCGAGCGGUAAGGCCCUUUCGGGGGUACACGAGCGGCGAACGGGUGAGUAACACGUGGGUGACCUGCCCUCAGCUCUGGGAUAAGCCCGGGAAACUGGGUCUAAUACUGGAUAUUACUCUGCGGUGCAUGCCGUGGGGUGGAAAGCCUUGUGCGGCUGGGGAUGGGCCCGCGGCCUAUCAGCUUGUUGGUGGGGUGAUGGCCACCAAGGCGACGACGGGUAGCCGGCCUGAGAGGGCGACCGGCCACACUGGGACUGAGACACGGCCCAGACUCCUACGGGAGGCAGCAGUGGGGAAUCUUGCGCAAUGGGCGAAAGCCUGACGCAGCGACGCCGCGUGAGGGAUGACGGCCUCGGUUGUAA